GGAACAGCAAUCCUGCGAAGUGGCACUGGUUGCCUACCAGCUAGCCUCUGUCAGAGCAGGCCACUUCACCGUUACUUGAAGCUGCUGCCGGCUAAAAGAAGCUGAGCAAGCUCCGUGCGCAUAUGCCCACUGAUAUAACCUGGAGAGAUGGUCACUUCUGGGCACACCAUCCUUCCUGACCAAGUUGUGUGGAAAGGCAUCCAAGACACCCUUGGCCUUGGAUCACUUUCUGGAAGAAGAUCCAGGAGGGGGCAUCUCUUUUGCAUGGUUUCUCAUGAC